GAUGUCCUGCCUUCAGGGAAAAAGUUCACAGAUAUAGAUUAGUCAUGAACAUUUUAGAUGUUCUAUCAUGUAAGUCUAUUUUUUCUAAUAAAAUUUUAGACUGUAACUAUUCACCUCUUAGUAACAACCUGGACAGCACUUGGUUCAAGAACAAUGAGGAACAACAGUGAAUUUGGAGAGUCAGUAUUUGCUUGAUCAUACCUCAUUGGUUAAUGAGUGAUCUAGAAGGUCUCUUAGGUCUUUUUUUCAAAGAAUUAUUUAACCUAUAAGUAUCUUCUGUCUACAACAAAACAAAACAAUGUUAGAAGAAUGAUGUGUUUUGCUUUUCAUUUUGAUGAAAGCUUUGAAACAAAACAAUGGUCUUAUUUCUCAGUUGGAUUUAAAGUCUUUAUUUUGCCAAAAUAUAACCUGGUUGUCUUAGCACAGUGCUGCCAGAAUCAGAUGUCUCAGAAAAUCGAAGUUGUGUGCAGCUCCCUUAUUUCACUGUUAAGGGCCUGGAGUUCCCAGGUGAAAUGACUUGUGUAAGUCCCUCAGUUACUUAGUGGAAGAACUGAGACCAAAAUCCAGAUGUGUACACAGAUUCAGAAGUGUUUACACCAUUAAUGUUUUUCCUUAGCUGUGCUGUGACCCCUGUUGAUAGCCCAUUGGUGGGCUGGAAAGUUAGUUUAGUAGAUUGAUCAACAUUUU